UGGGGAAUAUUGCACAAUGGGCGAAAGCCUGAUGCAGCAACGCCGCGUGAGUGAUGAAGGCCUUCGGGUUGUAAAGCUCUGUCUUUUGGGACGAUAAUGACGGUACCAAAGGAGGAAGCCACGGCUAACUACGUGCCAGCAGCCGCGGUAAUACGUAGGUGGCAAGCGUUGUCCGGAUUUACUGGGCGUAAAGGAUGCGUAGGCGGAUUUUUAAGUGAGAUGUGAAAACCCUAAGCUUAACUUGGGGACUGCAUUUCAUACUGGAAAUCUAGAGUGCGGGAGAGGAGAAUGGAAUUCCUAGUGUAGCGGUGAAAUGCGUAGAGAUUAGGAAGAACACCAGUGGCGAAGGCGAUUCUCUGGACCGUAACUGACGCUGAGGCAUGAAAAGCGUGGGUAGCAAAACAGGAUUAGAUACCCUGGUAGUCCACGCCGUAAAACGAUGAGUACUAGGUGUAGGAGGUAUCGACCCCUUCUGUGCCGCAGUUAACACAAUAAGUACUCCGCCUGGGAAGUACGAUCGCAAGAUUAAAAACUCAAAUGAAUUGACGGGGUCAUAGCUGUUUCCU
rnacentral:rRNA from 1 species